AUGAAGACGACUUGCCCCCUCUCGAUUGGUGAGAUCUAUUCCGCGGACUGA
rnacentral:snoRNA from 1 species